rnacentral:rRNA from 1 species
GAUGAACGCUAGCGGGAGGCUUAACACAUGCAAGUCGAGGGGCAUCACGAGGUAGCAAUACUUUGGUGGCGACCGGCGCACGGGUGAGUAACGCGUAUGUAACCUACCCUGUACUGGGGGAUAACCCGGAGAAAUUCGGACUAAUACCCCAUAAUGAUAUUUUGAGGCAUCUCUUUAUAUUUAAAGUUACGACGGUACGGGACGGGCAUGCGUAACAUUAGCUAGUUGGCAGGGUAACGGCCUACCAAGGCUUCGAUGUUUAGGGGUCCUGAGAGGGUGAUCCCCCACACUGGUACUGAGACACGGACCAGACUCCUACGGGAGGCU